rnacentral:lncRNA from 1 species
CCUCAAAACCUACAUUGAGCAUCUGCCCUGAAACAUCAUGCACUUUGUCUCGCUAUCGAACACCCAGCAAUAACCACUGAUCAUACAAAUUUAGAGAUCGAUUUCCAUCACUCCAAUGACCUACAGAUUCAAUAGUUCGCGAUAUUCGGCCAUUGAUUUGCUCUAGCGGUGGUGCUGCUCAAUCGGUUUGUCUUGAAUAUUAAAUGGGCAGUGAAUUCAUAGAACAGUGGGUUAAAAUCGGUUUGCUUGCCAAGAACAAAGUGAAAGCAGAUUGCAGCGAUUUGGAGUACUCGGAUCUAUGCACUAAGUGUGAGAAGUGAAGAGGAGUGAUCCAUAGAGAAGCUGCAGAGAAAUGGUUGUUGGUGGUACAGAGAUUGGACCAGAAUGGUGUGAGGUAAACGUUCAAGUACCAAUAAAAAAGAUGAAAACUUGGUAAGACUAUAUGGUUUAUUUUAUACAAUUCAAGAUUGUAUUGGUCCAUCCGCGGCAUGGCCCUAUCCAUUCAUCUCGGUAGUCCAUGAGGAAUGAGGACGCAUGAUGACUCAAGAUUUUAUGCUUCUUAUUUCUUUAUUUGCUUUUAAUUUCUUUGUUAAAUGUUAAGACUUUAUGUUAGAUAAUGUUAUAACUUAUUUGUGGUUAGUGUUUUUGUUAUGAACAUGCUUAUUUGAAAUAUAAUGAAGUUUUAUUUCUUUCAUUAGUUGAUGGUUAUACAAUAACUAUUAGGUGUAAUAUGUUGAUGGUUUGUUUAUAAAAUUGGUUUUAUAAUCUUAUUUGGGAUUUAAUACCAUUUUCUUGAUAUUAAAGUAGCUAUAACGUUACAUCAUCAUGGUCCUAUAAGUUAAUUUUUAAGGACGCUUGUAUGUGUAUCAAAAGAUUAAAAGUAGGUAAUCACAUAUUAGAACAUUGUAAAAGUGUCCUAAUAUGUUCUUUUUAGGACGCUAUUUAAGUUGUCUAUAGACAUAUUAUGCGACCAUAAAAUUGGUUUCAUUAUCUUAUUUGGUAUAUUAGGACCCUUUUCUUGGCAUUAAAUUAGAUAUAAUGUUACAUCAUAAGGGUCCUAUCAAUUAAUUUCUAAGGACGCUUGUAAGUGUAUCAAAAGAUUAAAAGUAUGUAAGUACAUGUUAGAACAUCGUAAAAGUGUCCUAAUAUGUUUUUAUUAGGACACUAUUUUGGUUGUUCAAAACCAUAUUACGCGACCAUAAAAUUGGUUUCAUAAUCUUAUUUGAGAUGUUAGGACGCUUUUUUAGUUCCGGGACUUAUUACGACCCCUUUACAUGAAACGCUUUUACCGUUGGUCCUAUUAAAUGAAAGGUCCUAUAAAAUAGAAUUUUAGGACGCUUUUGCGCGUACUAAAAACCCAGUUUUCUUGUAGUGUUUGUAUGAAAAUUUAAGAUGGAUCAGUAUAUCGACAAUCGAGGUGAAUUGUUUAAGUCUUAGUAUGUAAUGUAGCUUAACGGUACUUGUAAUCUGUCUGAAAAGCUGAUAUGAUUCCCUGACACGCUCACCAAAAAUAAUUUUUGUAAAUAGUUUAUUUUCUGCAAUUUAAGUUUCUGUUAUUUCAUUUCUUAGUUUAGAUCAUCUUAAAAUCCAAAAAGAUUUUAUUUCUGCUUUAUUUUAGACAAACCAGAGUGGAAAGUUGAUUGUCGGAUUCUAGAAAGAUGAAGCAGAUGCAGGAGAUUCUGAGCUAAAGAUCGAGGAGAGCUUACAUUGUUGAAAAUGUGUUUGUUUUCAAAGUCAAAAACAAGUUCAUUAAGUUGAUACUUGUUAUUUUUAGAAAAAGUUGAAAAUGAUUUUACUAAAAAUCAGUUUGAUUCGUCAACAGGUCAACCAGAGUCAUUAAAUUGAACUUGGUAGAUUAAUCAAGUAUUCAGGGUCAUUAACUUGAACUUGAAAACUUGAGUGGAUUUCUAAAAGCUGAUUGAAUUUGUGUUUAUUGUUUGAAAAGAUAGAUUGUAAUGUUAUUGGUUGAGUAACAGGUUUGGACAUUAUUUCCCAAUGGAGUCAAAUUGUAAAAGCUUGAACCAGAUAUUUCAAGAUUCCAGCAUACUGAGAGGGGGAGUCUGUGAAAGUGGGAGUCUGGAUCAACAGCUAAUGGGAAGCUUGUAGAUAAAGCUAGGAGAUAGUCCUGGAACCUGUGAAGAAUGCUUAUGAGGAGAAGACAGAGUUUGUGAAAAGACAAAAACUGAAGACUAUGGAACUGAAGACUGAUAAAGACUACGUCAACAUCCAAGGGGGAGUCUGUUGAUGCACGGAAUGUCUGUUGACUGCGUCUACAAAAAGUCUGAAGUCAAUAUUGGUCAACAGGAGGUCAAAUUGUAAAUAGUGUGAUAGAUUGAAGUAGGAUCGCUUAUUUGUCAUUAAACUUAGUGGACCGCUUUUGUGUCAUUAAUCUGGAUCGCUUAUGUGACAAAGGAUCUGGAUCGCUUAUAUGGCAUGUCACAUAAGCGACCCUGGAACUCUAUAAAUAGGAGGAGCGGUUCAUUAGUUGUAACGAUGUAUGUGUGUGCUACGGUGCUGAAACUCUGCCAAAUUUUCAUCAGAAAGCAAUAGAAAGAUAAGGAAUU